AGCAGCCGCGGUAAUUCCAGCUCCAAUAGCGUAUAUUAAAGUUGUUGCAGUUAAAAAGCUCGUAGUUGAAUUUCGGGAUUGGCGCAUCGGUCGUGCCUUACGGGGUAUGAACUGGUGCAGUCAAUUUCUCACCUUCUGGAGAACCGCGAUGUCCUUAAUUGGGGUGCCGCGGGGGAACCAGGGACCUUUACUUUGAAAAAAUUAGAGUGUUUAAAGCAGGCAUUUUUGCUUGAAUACAUUAGCAUGGAAUAAUAAAAUAGGACGGCAUGGUUCUAUUUUGUUGGUUUCUAGGACCACCGUAAUGAUUAAUAGGGAUAGUUGGGGGCAUUAGUAUUCAAUUGUCAGAGGUGAAAUUCUUGGAUUUAUGAAGACUAACUACUGCGAAAGCAUUUGCCAAGGAUGUUUUCAUUAAUCAAGAACGAAAGUUAGGGGAUCGAAGACGAUCAGAUACCGUCGUAGUCCUUAACCAUAAACUUAUAGACCGACUAGGAAUCCAGACGAUAGUUAAUUUUUAAUGUAC
rnacentral:rRNA from 1 species